AUAGGUCAUCAAGGGAUGGGACCAAGGCAUUCUAGGAGGUGAUGGAAUCCCCCCAAUGCUUGCUGGGGGAAAACGCACACUAAAGCUUCCUCCAGAACUUGCAUACGGCAUCAGAGGGGCUGGGUGCAAAGGAGGUUCUUGUAUUAUUCCUCCAGAUUCGGUUCUUCUGUUUGAUGUAGAGUUCAUUGGCAAGGCAUGAGCACUGAGAAGUAGUACGUACCCACAUAGAAACAGACUCAAACAGUGCAUCUCAAUCAAUCAGUUUUUGGGGUUUUCGAUCUCUAUUUGUAAUGUUGAAGAGAAGAAAGCAUUUGUCAAUUAGAGACCUUAAUUAUGUCA